AUUGAACGCUGGCGGCAUGCCUUACACAUGCAAGUCGAACGGCAGCACGGGUGCUUGCACCUGGUGGCGAGUGGCGAACGGGUGAGUAAUACAUCGGAACAUGUCCUGUAGUGGGGGAUAGCCCGGCGAAAGCCGGAUUAAUACCGCAUACGAUCUACGGAUGAAAGCGGGGGACCUUCGGGCCUCGCGCUAUAGGGUUGGCCGAUGGCUGAUUAGCUAGUUGGUGGGGUAAAGGCCUACCAAGGCGACGAUCAGUAGCUGGUCUGAGAGGACGACCAGCCACACUGGGACUGAGACACGGCCCAGACUCCUACGGGAGGCAGCAGUGGGGAAUUUUGGACAAUGGGCGAAAGCCUGAUCCAGCAAUGCCGCGUGUGUGAAGAAGGCCUUCGGGUUGUAAAGCACUUUUGUGCGGAAAGAAAUCCUUGGCCCUAAUACGGUCGGGGGAUGACGGUACCGGAAGAAUAAGCACCGGCUAACUACGUG
rnacentral:rRNA from 1 species